UUCCUAAACCACCAGCCCAUAUGCCCCAACUUCCUAAGCCCAAAUCCCUCUACCACCCUAGCAAAUUGACCCCAUCAGCCCAAUUCUCCAGCCCAUACCCUUUUUGACCCGGCCCACGUCUGCUCUCUUCUUCCAAAGAAAAGCAGAAACGACUCUAGCAAAAAGCUCAACGCCAGUGCGCGUAACUCGUCGCUCCCAACUCCAGUUGACGCGUGAAAGAGCAGCAAGGAUACACAGUAUUCCUCACGCUUGACAGAUGCAACGUGAAAAACUCAAAAGCUAAUCGCGUGUUGAUUGCGUCUUCUCCAACGUUCCCAUGACAGAAGACGCGUCCCCUUCUCCAGGUUUGUACGAUAGUAGAGACACGCGAGAAACGUCCUUGACACGAUGAGAUUGGUCCAAGUUGCCUUCCAAGGACGGGAGGUUGAUCUUGGUUGUCCGCUCCCCUUUUCCUCUUCCGAAAGGGGUCGAAAUUUCUGAAAAAGUGUGUUUCCGCUCUUUGGUGAAAGUAUUUUUUUUGAAUUUUGAAGGGAAUUCGAAAUGGAUCCGGGUUUUUGGAUCCGAUUUUGCCCUACCUCAAAAAUCGUGACCUAAUUUUUCAUCUAUAUAUCUUCUCUUUCUCCUUCAAUGAAGAGAGAAGAGAAUUUUUUUUGACUUUUUCUUGGGAAUUUUCUGUAGAGAACACAUAUUGAGUGAAAAUCUUGGGUAGACUUUCUGUUAGAAAAUUCUCAGAGCAAAGGCAGUGGUAAAAGGAAAUAGUUGUAGGCUAUACGAAAAAAAAUAUAAAAUACAGUCAAAGAAACAGGGGUAAGAUUUUUCUCUUCUCCUUCCCUCUUUAGAGAUUUUGGGUUUGCUGUUUCGUUUCGAAUAUCUUGGCUGCCGCUUGUGUUCAUUAUUCGACGGCUGACGUUCGUGGUCGGUAUUCCGGUGGUGAAGCUUCCUAUACUCGUUUCAGCCCAGUCUCGCUGCACUUAGCAAGUCUGUUCGAUAUGGACCAUGCUUCCCCAAAGCUUGCUAUUUGGAUCCGUUGUUGCAAUCGUGGCCUCAAGACUCAUGUUCGAGCGAUCUCUAUUGUCUGAUAUGUAGCCAAUAUCUAACUAGUUGGAUUUAGCAGUGCUUUGUUUCUUCAGCAGCUUUUGUUCUGUGAUUUGAUCUUAAAAUUGUUCUUGUCUAGUUUAAUAUGAAAAUGUAAUCUAAUCAUGCCUUAGAUUCAAGUUCAAAUUGUAGUGUAGCUCUAAUAAUCCCUGUUAAGUUUUAUACUCGUUCAAGCUUCCAUUUAUCUGUCUGCUUUCUCUAUUUCCAUCAAUCUUUAUGUCACUGUCCCUCUUCUAUUUGCGAUCCUUUAUGAAACACGAUUUCUUGUCCUGGUUCAUUACUUGAGUAUUUUGGUUUGUCCUCCUACGUACUUGAUUUUUUUGGGGGGAGGGGGGCAAAGGAUAACUGUUGGGUGUUUGAGUCAUAGGCUUGUAUAUGUGUUUUGCUUACUGUGUUUUGAUUGAAUUUGUUUGCUGAUGUAGCUUGUUAUGAGAUUCUUGGUAUAUCGAUAUGUUGUGUACUUUCCUAAAUGAUUUCAUUGUCUAUUUGUCGUGUCGAGUCUAACUUUAUCAUCUCGUUUUAUGAAAUGGAAUUUAUUCUUAGAGUUCAUUAUUUGUAUUUAAAUUUGCUUCACAUGUUUGUGUUUCUGGAAAAGAAUUAUGCUAAAAUGCCUGUAGGUAUGAUUGAUAUUUAAUGCUUACUUUUGCCUAACUUAUUUCAUUUUUGUUUUGUUUCGUUUUACAAACUGCUUUGACCAUUUUAUUUAAUGGGCUGUCAAUUCUCAAGAACCCUAUGUUUCGAUAAAUGAAUACAUGUCUAUAUUAUUUAGGUGUAAAUAUUACCUGUUGCGUAAUUGGUGUGAAUAUCGUUUUGAUCUCAUCUAUUUUUAUCGCCUGAAAAAUUGUGGUUUAAUUUAGUGUUUUUUUUUUUACUAACCCUUUCUUUUCUUUCUCUGUCUUAUUUGAAUUAUAUCCCCCACCUUUGCAUUUUCCUAUUGGGCCAUGGAGGCCCAACUUCGCUUAAUUUGAGUCAAUCUACUUUUAAGAAUCGAAGAAUAAGUUCCGGAAAGAGGCGUGCAGGUCCCGAAGCAAAGGAAAUUAAAGUAGAAGAGUUGAAGAAGCUGGCCCACGAGGCCCACUUUAUAAUGUUCUUUUUAAAUUGUAUUCUGUUAUUUUUGGGUUUAAGCCCUGUCGUCUUUCCU